UACGUAGGGGGGCAAGCGUUGUCCGGAUUUAUUGGGCGUAAAGAGCGUGUAGGCGGCCAUACAGGUCCGUUGUGAAAACUGGAGGCUUAACCUCCAGACGUCGAUGGAAACCGUAUGGCUAGAGUCCGGAAGAGGAGAGUGGAAUUCCUGGUGUAGCGGUGAAAUGCGCAGAUAUCAGGAAGAACACCCGUGGCGAAGGCGGCUCUCUGGGACGGUACUGACGCUGAGACGCGAAAAGCGUGGGGGAGCGAACAGG
rnacentral:rRNA from 1 species